UACGUAGGGGGCAAGCGUUGUCCGGAAUCAUUGGGCGUAAAGCGCGUGUAGGCGGUUCGGUAAGUCGGCUGUGAAAGUCCAGGGCUCAACCCUGGGAUGCCGGUCGAUACUGCCGGACUAGAGUUCGGAAGAGGCGAGUGGAAUUCCCGGUGUAGCGGUGAAAUGCGCAGAUAUCGGGAGGAACACCAAUGGCGAAGGCAGCUCGCUGGGACGUUACUGAACGGCUGAGACGCGAAAAGCAUGGGGAGCCGAACAGG
rnacentral:rRNA from 1 species